rnacentral:rRNA from 1 species
AUACGUAGGUGGCAAGCGUUGUCCGGAAUUAUUGGGCGUAAAGCGCAUGUAGGCGGUGCCUUAAGUCUGUCGUGAAACUGCGGGGCCUAACCCCGUAUGGCGAUGGAAACUGGGGUACUUGAGUGCAGGAGAGGAAAGGGGAACUCCCAGUGUAGCGGGUAAAUGCGUAGAUAUUGGGAAGAACACCGGUGGCGAAGGCGCCUUUCUGGACUGUGUCUGACGCUGAGAUGCGAAAGCCAGGGUAGCGAACGGGAUUAGAUACCCCGGUAGUCCUGGCCGUAAACGAUGGGUACUAGGUGUGGGAGGUAUCGACCCCUUCCGUGCCGGAGUUAACGCAAUAAGUACCCCGCCUGGGGAGUACGGCCGCAAGGCUUAAACUUAAAGGAAUUGACGGGG